AAAAUUGGUGAGGCGAAUUUCGAAUGGUUUGCAGUUUGAAAAAAUUCUUCGUUGAGGAUAGAUCGCUAUUUUUUAGGAGUAAAGCAAAUUCGAACGAGUUCAACGAAUAUUUCUUGUGCUUAACAGACACAAAACAAAUCGAUCAAAAUGUUCAAAAACCAUUUGGAAAUGAUUGGGCGCAAUGAGAGCCCCAGCAAGAAGGCCAAAUUCUGGCAAUCCUACAUCAGAUCCCUGAAGGGCUCCGAGGAUAUUCGUGCCCAUGAAGCGCCAAGAGCUUCUCGCCCAUACAGCUCGUACCUGGAUUCGCCCACAUACAGGAGCAUCUACGAUGAGCCCGCAACGGCCAACGAGCGCGUUCAGUCAUCUGGCUACAGAUACUUGCCAGUGAGCCGCGACACCUACGGCUACUCGCCACGUGCCAUCUACGAUCAUCAUUACAGCAGAACAAUUCCAGCUAAUUACGAUGCAGAGAAGGCAUGGAAUGAUCAUUUGAAGCGCAUGCAAGAAAUCGAGCGCAGAUACCCAUCUCGCUAUGGUCUCUAUUUGAGAGACAAGCCACUCACACCAAACUCUUUGGUGCCUUUGGAAUACGAGCCAGAGGAUAAGCUGUUGGCUGAACUCAACAAGGCACGUCGCUCGGCCUCGCCGUUCCGUCCCAGCCGCACGAGCAGGGCUGGCAGCGAGCCCUACGUGCCUCCGCCAGUCUACUGGAACCGUGAGAGCAGCGUGCCACGUGGUGGACCAUCGGUGUUCGAUCGCGCCACCAGCUUGGCUCCGUUCACGCGGCCAAGCUUCCGUGCCAGCUCGCUGGAGCCGUUGGAUGAACUCUUUGAAAGUAAGUUGCCAACAAUUUCUGUGGCCCCGGCCGAUGCCGAGGCCGAUGUAGCAGCUGCCACUAGGCCUUCGAUUUUUGAGCGCGCCGGCUCGCCAAGUCCCACUCCUGUCAAAGCCGGUCGCUGGGGACCACGCCCCACCGAAGUCGCCUACGAUGCUGAGGGACUUCCAAUCUUCCAUCCACGCAACCGCUUCAGGGAUAUGCUGAGCCCCAGCCCCAAGCUGCCGAUCUCGUCGAUUGUGCGCGAUCCCUUCUGGUGGGAUGUGGAUGAUCUGGUGCCCUUCCGAGCCACCUCGGUGCCCCGCGCCUCGAGCCCCGUGGCCCGUGAUUCGUAUUUGUCGCCGGUGAAGAACCGCUAUCUAUGGUCGAGACACCCAGCCAGACCCCUGACACCUGAGGCAGAGGAUAUUUUCUAAAACAUAAAAAAUGAAACAUAAACAUCAAAAUAAAGCCAAAUCACAACUCAAAAUCGUUAGCUCUAAUAACAACCGAUGCUAUAUCACAUAGCACUUCUGUAAUUUUUUUGUACUUUAAUUUACAUAAAUUACAUGUAACGAAAUGCAAUACAAACAAAUUGCUCACCGCUCAAUUUUGUAAACGAACGAAAACGAACUAUGAAACAACAACAACUACACUUACAACAACAACAACAACAACGAAUGCAUCAAUGGGGUCCCCAAUAACCAACAACGACUAGCUUUUUGGUUUCCAAGUCAAGAACCGGAAAUCAGUGAAAGUAGCAAAAUAUAUCUAUAUAAAGACUAUAUAUAUAGCCUUUGAGUCCUCAACAACGAUUGAAUUUUUUCAAAACUGCCAGCCCCAGAAGAUCCGGGUGCUGCCUCCACUUUAAAAAUUGCCAUCAAGUGCUUACUUCCCGUAGUAAAUAUAAUAGCAAACAUAAUACUUAUAUAAUAAAGGAAGGAGAAGAAUGCAAAGGGAAACCUUUUUAACAACAACUCUCAAUAUCAAAUUCUUAUUUGCAAUUUUAUUUAUUUUUUUUUUAGCUCAUGUCUUAGUAAUAAGUGCAAGUAUAUGAAAAACCAAAAAAUCGAUUUACAUUUAUUAUAAUAAAAGAAUGAAUCAAAUCUCUUAUGAGUCGCCCUUGAACAGCCCGAGCGCCAUAAAUUGUUCCUUUUUUGUAUAUCUUAGAUGCUACAUAUAUAUACUAUAAUUAUUUGUAUCAAUAACAUAAAAAAUACUCGAAUUUCAA